rnacentral:misc_RNA from 1 species
AAGACUAUAGACCUGCGGAGUACCUGCGGAAGGAUCAUCAGUGAAAACUGAAAACAACCCCAAAACACCCUCUAUGUGCACCCUGAAAUGGGGGAGGAUCGGAGAAAAGAAAAGGAGCUUUUGGCUCUUUUUUCUUUUGUUUUUCUCCUCCCCCAUUUUAUUUUUUUAUAAACUCCCUUUUUUACCAUUUUGUAAAUAAUACCCCCUUUUUUAUAAAAAGACAACUUUUAGCAACGGAUC